rnacentral:rRNA from 1 species
CCUCAUAAGUUAGACGAAAAGAGAGACCUAACAAGAAUUCAAUUUAAUUCUUUCUUGAAUUUCAAGAUCUUUAUUUUGAUAUUUAAUUAUUAAAAUACAGAAAAAAAGAAUUUAAAAUUAAAUUUAGAAUAGGCGGCACAGAAUCGGAAGGGCCAACUGUUUACUAAAAACAUAGAUUUCAGCAAUGAUGUAAAUCAUAGUAUUGGAGUCGAGAUUUGCACAAUGCCAGUAAUAUAAAAGCGGUAAUGAGGAAUUGUUACUAAUAGAAAUUUUGGUUAAUUGCGGUCCUAACCUUGAGGAUCCAAAGGUAGCAUAAUAACUUGGCCUUUAAAUGAGGUCCUGUAUCAAUAGUAGAAUGAUCCCUUCGCUGUCUCUACAACUUGCUCAGUGAAAUUGGAAUACUCGUGCAGAUACGAGUAAAAACUUCAGUGGGACGGGAAGACCCUAU